rnacentral:rRNA from 1 species
AACGAACGCUGGCGGCAGGCUUAACACAUGCAAGUCGAGCGGCAGUCUUCGGACUGCAGUGGCGCACGGGUGAGUAACGCGUAACUGACCUACCCCAAAGUCGCGGAUAACGAUUCGAAAGAAUCGCUAAUACGUGAUGUGCUGUCAGAUUGUGUUCUGCCAGUAAAGAUUGAUUGCUUUGGGAUGGGGUUGCGUUCCAUCAGCUAGUUGGUGGGGUAAAGGCCCACCAAGGCGACGACGGAUAGCCGGCCUGAGAGGGUGGCCGGCCACAGGGGCACUGAGACACGGGUCCCACUACUACGGGAGGCAGCAGUUAGGAAUCUUCCACAAUGGGCGAAAGCCUGAUGGAGCGACGCCGCGUGAGGGAUGAAGGUCUUCGGAUCGUAAACCUCUGAAUCAGGGACGAAAGACACUUCGGUGGGAUGACGGUACCUGAGUAAUAGCACCGGCUAACUCCGUGCCAGCCGCCGCGGUAAAAC